UUUUUCAAAAAAAAUUUAGUUUAUUAUGAAUAUUGAAAGCCCAACACUAGAGGGUGAAAUUGAGUGGAUUUUUCAAAACGCCAUUACCUUCCAUAACCAAUUUCUUCAUUUUAUUGAUGAAGUAAGAGGACGCAGUGUCCCAGACUUUAUCAUUCUUCAUUCCCUCUACAAACUCUAAGUCCAAAAUAUUUAUUCCAUUGGUAUCUAUUAACCUCAUAAAACAGACUAUCCCAACUACAUUAACAGCCUUGAUUACGAGCUCUGCAAUCCUUCUGCAUGGAAAAUUUCUUAAGAUGUGUUGAUCUUUCGUGCUAUAUAUGCCUGGUAUUAGCAACCCGGUCGCUUCUCGCUUGCUUGAUUAAUUCCAUUUUAUCAACCCAUUUAUCAAAUCAUUGUAGUUGCCGUCCGGUGCUGCUUUUAUUGCCUUGGAUGCUUCACUACACAAGGCAUCCCGCAUAACAGGCUUAUAUCUAAUGCUGUAUUUACAGUGACAAACUUCUUCAAUCACAUCACAUCUAGGGUUUUUACAUUUUAGCCAUUUCCGUAAAGCUUGGACCGCGACAAGGCACAAACCUCUUCUUGUUCUUUUCUUGGCCACCACAGUUUAUGCUUCAACUCAAUAUACCACCAACAGGCCGGCCGGAUACUGCUGUUAGCCAACCUGACGCCGGAAGCAAGGCUAAAGGUUAACAUUAUGUGGAUCUGCAGAUUGAUUAUUUUGUUUAGCAAGAGCCGAAAGAGUUUAUGAGUUUAGGUAAAUUCUUCUUUAUAAUUCUUAUAAUUUGAGCUAAUUACUCAGUUAGUCUCUGCAUUUUAUUUAAAAGUCUUAUGAUGCAAUAUCUAUAUUUGUUAAAAUAUAUCUCAUCAUGCUCCUUUCUUUUUUCUUUUUUUUAAAGUUGCAUGUAUUGUUAGAAUUUUUAAUUUUAUAUUAAAUAAAAUACUAUUUUUUCCUUUAAUAUUUUUUUUUUUUGGUAAUCUGAACGAAAUGGAGAGUUUAAUUAAUUAAAAGAAAAGGUUAAUACAUUGUCAAGACAAAUAUAGUGAGUCUAUUCCUAGAAAAUGCGUAGAAAUAGAAUAAUAAACAGAACUUUUGUUUAUUGGAGUAUAUAUACCAAAAAAAUUUAAGUUUUAAUAGGAGAUAAAAAUAAAGAUAAAAUUAAGAAAGUACAAUAAGAAAACGAUAAAAUUAAGGAGUACGAUAAAAUAAUAAUAAUAAUAAUAAUAAUUUUUGUAGAACGGAAGCAUGAAAGAAAAAUCUCAUCCUGUCAAGAAUUUAGCUGCUUAUAUUUUCAAACAUUGAAGCUAUUUUAUAAUUUUGCAAUUUUAAAUUGACCUAUAUAUUUUCAGCCUCUAAAAACUCUUUAUUUUAAUCAAUCGUCACCUUGCUUACUGAUAACUAAAAGCCCUAAAACUAAUAAUACCCGCGAUAACCCUUUUCUUGUUCUCCUUUUUUUGCCUAAAAUACAAUUUUUUUUUCUGAAGUGAAAAUACAAAUCAAUUUAGUUUAAACUUUCCAUGGUAGCCACCGAAUUAACCACCAUCAACAGUGAAGGAAGCAGUAAUUUUCUUUCACACAUAUUUUUGAUUUGUGAAAAACUUGUGACACUUGUUUGUGAAAAUCUUGUGACGCUUGUUGAACUUGAAUCCGGCGAGGUGGGUACCUAAAAGAAGCACUACGACACCCAAUCAUUGUUUUAUUUAAGAUUUAAUAGAAAUAAGAAUAAUAAAUAAGAUUAGAGUUUUUUUGUAGAGGGAUGAACAAUAUUCUCUCUUUUUUUUUAUCAAGAGGAAUCUCUCAUUUCUUGGAGAGGUGAUCCCUAUUUAUAGCUUAUGAGUGAUAUGGGUCUAGGGUUUUAUCUUGGUCUCUCUCCUUGAUGACACGUGCCAACCACUAUUACCGCACACGUGGAAGUGAAUUUGUUCGUAGGGAAAUAAAUAUAUUUAUUUUGGACCUACCUUAUUUAUUUCGUACCCAUGUGAUUCCUUAUUCCUAUUAUCUUGGGUGUGGUUUACUCAGACCCCAAAAUCCUGAAAUUAAAAUGAGUUUUUACUCUUAGUUAUUAUCGGAAGUUUCUAGAGAUUUCAUUACAGUGUUACUCUCUCUAUAAUAGAUUGAAUAUAAUUUAUUUAUUUAUUUAUUUUAAUAAAAAAAAAAAUUAUUUGGACACUUAGCGCAGUUUGCUGCCUCUAGGCCAUGGCACCUACAAACAAUCAAACAGCAUUCGACCACUAGCCCACCACGCCUCCGCCAGCCAACAUGUGGUAAGUUUGAGCCAUAAAUUUUUUUUACUAGUUUUUGAUAUCUCAUAAAUAUUGACUAUUUUGUUAUCAAAUUGUUGUCUGCAUUUCCUCUUACACGUUUUAUCAUAUUAUUAUUCUACAUUGUAAUUAUUCAAUAUUUUUACUAGACUGAAUUAUUGACCCCAAAAAAAAAUCGUCAAAAUUCAUUUAAAUGAGGGAUUAUUUGGAAAAAUAGUAUGGAACGAGAUACUUAACAUCGUAGGAACAGGACAAUUUUUUAGUCUAAAACAAUGGAAUGUUACAUUGUCCCAAUUAUAUUCAUGAAACCUAACUGGGAUUAAGGUGGGCAGAAAAAUUGUUGUCAUCGAAAAAAUUGUUUGGUUAGGUACGGUUCAGUUUCAAAAAAAUUAGAAAAACUAGUUGGUUUAUAUGAAAAAAAUUGAAAACCAAAAAAAAUUAAAAAAUAUUAAAGAAUUUAUGAUUGAAUAUUGAACCAAACGAAAACUGAACCACGGUUUAGAUUAUAACUUGAGAAAAAAAAAAUCAACCGGUUUAAUUCAAUUCGAAAUGGAAUCGAACAGUACCCGCCCCUAACUGGGAUUAACAAAUCUCAACUAAUCCCAAUCAAUUACAAAUCCUACCUUUUACUCAUAACACCCAUUUAAUAAAUUUUAAAAAUUGAACUUUUACUCAAAACAACUUUUGUCCCAAAAAUGGUCUUUUUAUUGCACUUUUUUUUUCUUUCUACAUGAUAAGAAAUAAUGACAACUCACUCCUUUUUCUUUUUUUCAAGUGAUUAUUAAUUAAAAUUAGUUUAUAUCAAAUGAACAAAGUUCAUAUUUUUUUUUUAUCUCAUCCCUUAUGAAUGGUUUCAAGUAGCGUAAAGUUUGAAAAGCAUUACAAAAAGAGAGCAAAUAAUCCAGAAAUAGUUAAGUGAUAUGUUUAAUUUGUAGUUAACAAAUAAGCUAGAGUUGAGAAAGAAAGACGAGAGGAAGUGAUGUCAAAAGCUUAAACUUAUUAUCCCUUUAUUCCAUGAGCUACACAUAUAUAUAGUCUCUGAACUAAACACUUACGCUAGAAAAUAGAAUAACAGUAGCAGAUAAUCUGGAAAAUAACUAACUGGUGCCGCAAAAUCAGCACUCGAGAUUAUUCAACGGAACCACUAAGGUCUAACAAACUUGACCGAGUCUUGAUGAUGACCAAAUCUUCCACUCACUCUCCUCCCGCUUUAAAGUUGAAGACGUGCAUGCAAUCCCAUGCAUUUUCAUACGUCCCAUGCAUUUCCAUACGUGGUCUGAUGGUCUGAAGACAUGCAUGCAAUCCCCAUGCACACCAGCACGUAUCAUUCCCCCCCACUCACAAUAUCCUUGUCCUCAAGGAUGAAAUCAAGGUAUGUCUUGGCAAAACGCCACUCAGUUUCCCAGGUGGCAUCCUCCACUGGCGCACCAGCCCAUUUAACCAAUAUCUGAGGUUUUGGGCGAUAAUUACCUUUACGUAUCACACGCCGAUCCAAGAUAGCCUCAGGCUGUGGAAGAAGUGUUGAAGUUUCUGACACUGGAGGAAGUCGGGGAGAAGCAAGUGGUAUUGAUCCCAAAUGCUUACGUAGUAGACUAACAUGAAAAACAUUAUGGAUUUGAGAACUAAGCGGAAGAGCCAACUUAUAAGCAACCGAGCCCACCUUUUCAAUGAUUUGAUAUGGACCAAAAUAACGUGCAGCAAGCUUCAUGGAGCCACGAAAGGCCACUGAUGUCUGCCGAUACGGCUGUAACUUUAAAUACACAUAAUCCCCCACGUGGAAGUUUACUUCUCGUCGAUGCUGGUCCGCUUGAGAUUUCAUACGGUCCCGAGCCCGGAAAAGGUUCUGCCGUAACUCACGCAAAAUAGAAUCCCUGUCUCGCAAGUAUUCAUCCACUGCUUGGACCCGCGAAGUACUCGGUACAUAUGCUAAUAAGCUUGGGGGCGGAAUGCCAUAGACAGCUUCAAAGGGCGAUAGUUUGGUGGAAGAAUGAAUGGAUGUAUUAUAGCUGAACUCAGCCCAUGGGAUCCAUUCCAGCCACUUGCGUGGCUGAUCGCCUGUAAAACAGCGUAGAUACUGUUCCAAGGUGCGAUUGACCACCUCGGUUUGGCCAUCAGAUUGUGGGUGAUAACUAGAACUCAUGCAUAACUUGGUCCCUUGCAGUUGAAACAGAUUACGCCAAAACGAACUGAUAAAUACCUUAUCUCGAUCACUAACAAUCGAAGUGGGAAUACCGUGUAGACGAACCACAUUGCUAACAAAUGCCUUGGCUAUAAUUAUAGCAGUAAAAGGGUGCUUUAAGGGCACAAAAUGGGCAUACUUCGUUAAUCGAUCCACGACCACCAUGAUGACGGUGUACCCAUUAGAAGAAGGUAACCCUUCUAUGAAAUCCAUGGAAACGUCAGUCCACAUUUGUUGCGGAAUGGGUAGCGGUUGUAAUAGUCCGGCGGGCCUCAUAUUGUCUACUUUAUAUCUUUGGCAGAUGUCACAAUGUUGCAAGAAUUCUUUCACCGUCCGCCUCAUGUUGGGCCAUAAAAAACUACGCUUGAUACGAGCAAGAGUUUUAUGGUAACCAAAAUGCCCACCUACAGGAGAUGCAUGACAGUCGGAGAUUAUCUGAGGAAUCAGUGAGGAAGUGGAACUCAAGUAAACUCUAUCACGUUUGAACCAAACUCCAUCUCUCUGUAACAACUGGUUAGACUGAGACGAGCUCCUCCGAGAUAGGCCUUCAUAAAACGUGUCCUGUUGUACCUCCCGUUGAAGAACUGGCCACCAAUUUGCAUGGGGUAACGAAAUUGCUAAAAACUCCACCAGUCGAGAUAAUGAAUCUGCACCCUGAUUCUCAGCCCCCUUUUUAUAUUCAAUUUCGUAAUCAUACCCAAGGAUCUUAGGUAGCCAUCGAGUUUGUGCUGGUGUUGUGAUCCGCUGUUCCAACAGAUAUUUGAGACUUUUUUGGUUAGUUACGAAUGGUAAAUGGUUUCCCGAGUAAAUACGGUCGCCAUUUACGGAUUGAUUUAACGAUAGCAAGCAUCUCUUUUUCAUAUGUGGACAACGCCAAAGCAGAACCUUUUAAGGCCUCACUAAAAUAAGCUACUGGUCUGUUUUGUUGAGAGAGGAUGGCUCCAAUUCCGAUCCCACUUGCAUCACACUCGAUCACAAAACGUUGGGAAAAAUUCGGUAGACGCAAAACAGGUGGAGAAGUCAAUGCUGUUUUUAAUUGAUCAAAAGCCGCUACUGCAUCCUUAUUCCAAUGGAAGCCCUCUUUAGUUAAGAGCCUGGUCAAAGGAGCUGCUAUACACCCAAAAUUGCGAAUAAACUUCCGGUAAUAUCCAGCCAACCCAAGAAAUCCACGAACCCCCUUCGUCAUCGUUGGCAUAGGCCAAUCAAUGACUGUUUGUAUUUUAACAGGAUCAACAGCCACACCUUUUUCGGAGAUGAUAUGACCCAAAUACUCAACCUGCAAAACUCCAAAUUGACACUUUGACUCUUUGGCAAACAAGCUGUUAGUUGAUAAAAUAUCUAAAACUUGAUGAAGAUGCGAGAGGUGAUCUUCCCAAGUUCUAGAAUACACCAAUAUGUCGUAAAAAAAAACAAGUAUGAACCUCCGAAGAUAUGGACGAAAAAGAUCGUUCAUGAGACUCUGAAAGGUUGCAGGAGCAUUGGUAAGUCCAAAUGGCAUCACAAGAAACUCGUAAUGUCCCUCGUGUGUACGAAAGGCUGUCUUUGAAACAUCCUCCUCCUUCACACGGAUUUGGUGGUAACCUGCUCGUAAAUCUAACUUUGAGAAGAAUUUGGCGCCGUGGAGUUCAUCUAAGAGUUCAUCUAUGACUGGGAUUGGAUAUUUAUCUUUGACUGUGAUAGUGUUAAGUGCUCUGUAAUCCACGCAAAAUCGCCAAGACCCAUUUGCCUUCUUAACUAAUAGAACUGGAGAUGAAAAAGGACUGCUGCUAGGUCGAACCAAUCCUGCUUGUAGGAGCUCUUUAACCAUUUUUUCGAUUUCAUUUUUUUGGUAGUAGGGAUAUCGGUAUGGCCUUACACUCACUGGUUUUGUAUUUGGCUCUAAGGGAAUUUGAUGAUCAUGUGUCCGUUUUGGUGGUAAGCCAGAAGGUGGUUGAAAUACAUGACAAAAUUCAUUUAGGAGGCAUAUGAGGUCAGGUGGAUAUUCAUUCAAUUUUUUAUUGUUGUUAGCAGGAAUAAUUUGAAAGAAAAAACCAGUGCCUUGUAAAUUGAGAAAUUCUUUACCAGUGAGAGCCUCCAUGCCCGCUCGUUCCAUUCCUCGGAAGGUAUGGAUGCCUUCUCCCUUUCUAAAGGUCAUUGUCAAUUUCUUGUAGUCCGUUUCGAUAGGCCCAAGAGUUUCAAGCCAUUGAACACCCAAUACUAAUUGACAUGCUGCAACUGGUAGGAUGAAAUAAUCUGCGGUGAUAGAAUGACCUUGAACUGUGAGAGUGAGUCCCUGGCACUGUCCUGCACACUCUAUUUGUUCUCGGUUUGCAACCAUGACCUGAAGCUUCUUGUCACAAACCACGGGUAGCCCAAACUUGGAGACAAUAGCUUGAUCAAUGAAAUUAUGAGUACUUCCCCCAUCUAUUAAAACCGUAACAUCCUUAUUCUUCAGUUUGCCUUGGACACGAAUGGUUUGAGGAUGUGUCGUACCUGCAAUAGCAUGAAAAGAGACUUCUGGUAUAACUUCAUAAUGCUCUGGUACAUGUUGAGCGUCUUCAUCAUUAGUACAGUUAAAUUGGGGAGAGUCUUCUAUCAUAAAUAGUUGUGGCCGCUCACAACGAUGUCCUGGCACGAAUUUUUCAUCACAGUAGUAGCAUAAUCCCUUCUCUCUGCGUUCGCGUGCCUCUUGGUUGGUGAUUCGUCGAAAGGAGAUUGGUGUAUUACUAGAGUUCUGAUUUUUUUGGGUGGGCGGAGGUCCUAGCACGCUAGCUGUUGUAUUUGGCAUCGUCCUAGGCAUCACUGUGGUUGUUUGGAAAGGAUAGGACGUGCGAGCCUUUCUUUGCAAUAAGUUCCGUUCCUCAACUAGCCGAGCGACUCCUAUGGCGUCUACCAAGGUUCGAGGUUGUUUGAUCUUAACGUCUAAGCGAACAUCAUCUCGAAGUCCUGCAACAAAACAGCCAACGAGAAAAUGUUGAGGUAAGCCAUCGAUCUGAUGGGAGAGCUUUUCGAAGGCUUCUUGGUAGGCUGCUACUGUUGUAGUCUGUUUGAGGCGAGACAAAGCUUCAGACGGGUCCUCGUAGUCGGUCGGGCCGAAACGGAGCAGGACUGCCUUGGUGAACUCCUCCCAACUUAAAGGUCCACGAAACUUCAUCAACCAUCUCUGCCAUUGUAAGGCAAUUCCCUCUAAAUGGAAAGAGGCUAGUUGAACUUGUUGAUCAGGGGCAAUAUCUUUGAAGUCAAAGUAUUGUUCUGCUCUGUAGAUCCAGCCACUUGGGUCUUCACCGUUAAACUUUGGAAACGACAAAUUUAUAUGGUGAUGGGUCCUGUCAGUAGUUGGACCAUGGAGAGAAGGGCUUGGUUGGUUUCGGUUUUGUGAGGAUUCUGCAGGGGCAAAGGAAUUGGUUUCAGCAUUGACAGUGUUUGAGCUACGUGAUACUCGAAGGGCUUGAAGCUCUGUCAAGACCGUUUGCAAGGUGGCAUUAACUUGAUCAAAGCUUGACUCAUGGCGGGCUAUAAUUUCACUAACUUCAUUGCGGAAUUCAACAUUAGUUUUGCCGCGAGUAUCCAUGAUCUAACCUGGCUCUGAUACCACUGAUAUGUUUAAUUUGUAGUUAACAAAUAAGCUAGAGUUGAGAAAGAAAGACGAGAGGAAGUGAUGUCAAAAGCUUAAACUUAUUAUCCCUUUAUUCCAUGAGCUACACAUAUAUAUAGUCUCUGAACUAAACACUUACGCUAGAAAAUAGAAUAACAGUAGCAGAUAAUCUGGAAAAUAACUAACUGGUGCCGCAAAAUCAGCACUCGAGAUUAUUCAACGGAACCACUAAGGUCUAACAAACUUGACCGAGUCUUGAUGAUGACCAAAUCUUCCACUCACUCUCCUCCCGCUUUAAAGUUGAAGACGUGCAUGCAAUCCCAUGCAUUUUCAUACGUCCUAUGCAUUUCCAUACGUGGUCUGAUGGUCUGAAGGCAUGCAUGCAAUCCCCAUGCACACCAGCACGUAUCAUUAAGCUAAUAAAUACUAUGAGAAAGUUAAUUCUGCGAGUCGUGAAAUCACUUGAGCGAAAUAGAAAAAUGAAUAUGAUCUCUAAAAUGAAAUACUUGAAUUAGAUUUAAUUGAUCGUGCUUUUAAGUUUACUGUUAUGGUUUGACAUAGAGCCUUUGCCAGUUUGGUAAAUAAUUGUUGUUAAUAAUACUGUAUAAAUAAUUCGCUGUAAAGAGAAUCGGUUAAGUAUUUUGGUAAAUUUUGUUUUUAAAAGUAUUUUAUGAGUUGGAAAAUAGUUAUCAAUUUUUAAUAAAUCUUACGGUUAAUAUAAUGUAAGAAAACAAAUGACUAAAAUAAAUAUAAAUAGAAUUAUAAUUACUUUUCAUGUAAAAAGAUGUGCAUACAAUUUAUAAUAACAGUAAUACUAAAAAAACAAAGGAACGAAAGGAGGAUGACAGAAACGGCAACGUGGGUCCAACUUUUGUUCUUUUUUCGUUUAAAAAAUUAAAAUAAUGAAAAUGAAAUAUAGAAUUAAUUAAAAGGAAACAAUAAAAUAAGAAAGUAACGAUAAAAGGCAAAAAGCGUCAUUAUCACCCAAACCCGACAAACUCAAAUCUGCAUUUACAUUAACAAAAGAAAAAUGAAAUAAAACCAGCGGCCGUUAUCCUGGAGAUCUGCAUUCGGAGAUUUGAAUUUGGCGUCAAAGACUAGGCCAACAACGUUGAUGAAAUUGUAGUCGGAUAAUUGGUAACUUUCUCUUUCCCAUUACGAAGAGAGUGUUGGGGAACGAGUAGAUCAGAUUUAAUAUAAAAAGAUAUUUCAUUAUUUUUUCCCAUUUAAAAAACUUAUUUUAUUAACUGUUGUGGGUCCUACAAGAAAGAAAAAGGAACGCGUGCGAAACGGCAGCAUUAGCUGCCGUUUCUAUCGUCCUUCUUUCAUUCCUUCGUUUUUUUACUGUUUUUCAUAAUAAUUUUAACUAAAUAAAAUUUAUAUUAUAUUGAUUUUAUUUCUUUUAUUUUGUUGUCUUAAAACAAUUGAUAAUUAAAAAAAUAACCACAAUUUUCAUUAUUGUAUAAUCAAAGUAAACAAACCAAAAAAAGAAAAAACAAACCCAAUCAAAAUAAACAACAAAUAUUAUAAUAAAAUUUUCACCAAAUAUACUUGAAUUUAGUUAAAAAGUAAUGAAACACAAAUUGAUGACCUUUGCCUCGAUGCCGUAAUCUGAUAACUUUUGAUAGAAUGUAAAAUACGAAGAAAAAAUACGAUAGAUGAAAGAAUGCGUGAAUCAUAAUAAAAUUCACUAAAAUAAUGAUUUUAUCUUUAAUUUGAAUAAGGAUAGUUUUGGGUUUAGGUAAUAAUUAUAAAGAUAUUUAUGAAACUGUAUUAAAAGAUAAAACUGCUUUUUAAAAUCAGAUUUUGAAAAGUUGCUCUCUUCUUACUUUUCAAAAUCUGCUGUAGGAAGAACUGAUUUUGAAUUUAUUUUUUAACCAAUUACUAAAAUUAGCUUUUAAAUUCUCAAAAUCAUUUUUAAGUCUCCCAAAUGCAAUUCCAAAUAAGCCCUUAGUCCAUUCCACUACUUUUUUUCUUAAAAAAGUAAAUUUAUAAAUAAAAUUAAUAAUACAAAUAUUAUUUUCAUACAUUACACUUUCGUCUAGCCAAACAAUUUAUGUUGUUUGGAUAUAAUUGAUAGUUGUGUUCAGGCAAAAAGGUUGACUAACUUUUUACAACUAUUAGUGUUUUGUUGUUUUUUUUCAUCCUCGAAGUAAGAUAAAAACUAGUUUAUUGAUAAAUCUUCAUUUUUUUUUUCCAUUCCAGCAAACUAAGGCACGUUUAAUCAUGUUAACACCAUAAUCAACUCCAGUGUAGAUUAUUCCGAUAUAAUCUUUCACCAUGAUCUGCCUAUAUGUUCGCAAUUAAUAUAAUCGUUAUAAACACUUUUGAAUUUAGGCACUUUAUCACUUUUAUUUGUUUUAGGAGAUUGCCCGUUUCUCACUACUAAAAUCAACAUUAUUCAUUCCUCUACUGUUUUUAUAAUCUUCAAUAAUUUUCAUGACACUGUAAUUUUACAAUAUUAACCUUAUUUUUAAAUAUAUUUUUUUCAUAUUGAUUAUAAAUUAAAUUAAAAUUAAAAUAUUUAAAUAUUAAAAAUAAGAAAUAUAAGUUUCAAUGUGAAUAAAAUAUUAACAAAAGAUUUUUAUUUAUUCUUUUUAAAUAUUUUUUGUAAUAAAUAUUAUUUUAUAUUUAGAAAAUAAAAUAUUAAGUAAAUGAUGUUUUAACCCAUCUUUUCUCUUAAUUUUUUUGUGCCAUAGAAAUUUUUGGGAAUUAUAAAGCUAGUUUGAAGAUAAAUGGUACCUAUUGAGAGGGAAAAUGAUAAAUCUCUCGUGCAACUAUUGCAAGAAUGUGUCAUUUUAUGAUUGGGGUGCUCGUUGAUCGUGAGAUAGAAUCUGGUUCUCAUAAUUUUUUUUAUAUUCGUGGGCUUCUGACAAGAGACAAACCCAAAUGGCAAAGUACCAUUUGACCCUAAGCUCAGUCUGGGCUGCCUUCUAUUUUGGGUCUCGUCAUAGCCCACUAAAAUUGUCAGGACAAUUUUGAUCUGCUUUUUCUUUUUCAUCAGAGUCAAAUCAAGCUAGAGAUACUAUUUUUUGACUUGUUUCAUUAUAGACAAGUUAGGAAUAUUACUGAUAACUUGUUAUGGAAUAUCUAGGUUUGUUACUUGUCAUGAAAGUAGACCGACUAUCCUCACGCCAAUUUUUUUCUUUUUUAAUUUAAUUUAUGUUUAUGCAUUGAUUUCCAUAUAUCUUAUGAUAUAAUUUUUAUGUGUAAUCAGAGCACACCAAAAAUAAAACAAAAUUAUCUAUGAUUUAGACAAGCUAAAAGGAUAUAGCUGAGGUUGGAAAUUAAGUUUAGUUUAUUGCUUUUAUUAUUUUUGAGUAUUUACUUUUAAAUAUAAAUUAAUUUGUGGAGAAUACUACCAAACUAGAACAACGUGGUAUUGAUUUAACAUGUUAUCUCUACCGAAUAUGUUAGUCCUCAAGCUGAAUAUAUUUUUAUUUAAUGCACUCACCAUUUUCUUGCAAGAGCUACUAUAUCGUAACAAUUUUACCAAAACUAAUUAGGUGAUCUGUACUAAUAAAGCCGGUAUCACCUAGUUUAGUAAUCAUAAAAUUUUUUAAGUCGAAAACAAAAAGUGAAAUUUGAACUCUGCUCAGGUAAGUGGAUUAAGUAUUUACAAUAAUAAUAAAAAAAAAAGAUAUCUCGAUCAUAUAAUCAAUAAUCAUGAUAAAAAUACGAGUAACUAAUUAAAAUGAACUCUUCAUAAAAAAAAAGAAAGUGAAUGGCAUAUGGGAUUAUUCAAUCACUUAAGUUGAAGAGAAAAGGCAAGGAAGAAUCUAUGUUGAAAUUGCAAACCAUUCAUGCCAUAAUAGAAAAACCUUUAACCUUUAGCCUUUAUAGUUGGGUCUUGGGCAGAAUAAUAGGAGCAAAAUUGGUGGAGCAGCAGCAAACAGGGGAAGGGGUUCAAUGUGUUCAUAGCUGUCAUACUCCAAUUUCAUAGGGCAGCAGGCAUCACAGGACUAAUUUAGUUAGUAGUGCUCUAUGUCUCAUGUGAGCCUCAGCUUUUACCCUUUUCAGGGCAUCUAAUCACAUGAUUACUGUGUAAAUCUACCUCUCUUUUUCUUUCUUUUCUUUUUUUUUAUUUUUAUUUUUAAAAAAAAAACUUUCUCUUUAUCCAUCAUUGUUUAAAAUGAUUUCUUAUUUUUAUUCGACUCAAAAGUUAGUUUUUACAUUAUUAGUUCACCGACUACUCUCGACUGGUACGAGAUAUUUUUCUCAACUGUCCUCAGGAUGCAUCGAAGUUGAUUUUCUUCCGGUUUUUUAUUUGUAUAUGACAAAAUCAUGUACGGUUUACAUAAAUAUGACAACUUUUAAUCAAUUAAAUUUGUAUGACAUUUUGGUGAUCCCUAGUCUAAAAUGCCCUUAACAUCUCCAACAAAAGCAUGCACCCAGCUUAUAAUGCGCCCAGCAUUCUAAAUUGUUAUCAAACACUUACUAAAAUCAUCACAUUCCCUUAACAAAUUCAAACAUAUUCCAAAAAUUUCUUCAACACAAAUUUUACACGUCAAAUUUGCUGCCGAAUUGAGUUUGUUUAUCAUGCUUAUCGUUUUCGUGACUUCUUUACUUCUAGACUUAUGGACCUGCAGAUAAGUCUAUAAAUCUAGAAGUCUAGAACUGAAGUACAGAAGUCUAGAAUAACUUUUAACAACUUAUUUUUGUUAAUAUUUUUAUUCUGUCAUCACAUAAUUUUUAAGUAAAUAGAUAUGGUACGUGUUAUUGUCUUAUAUAACGGUAAAUGGAUUAAUCAAAUUAAUGAAUACAAGUUCAAUGCCUUCCUAAACUUCCUAACUCAAGUUUUCUUUAAUUUUUUUAACCUAGUUACUUAUAAGAGUAUUUGUGUACUUUCACUUGUUAUUGGGUCAUAGUCUUGGCAUGUAAAUAAUUGGGUCAUUGUCUUGACAUUUUUGCAAGUAUUAAGUCAUAUCCAGUGCAAUUUUCUCAUUUUCUUCAAUAUUUAGAGUUGAUUUUUAUUUUAGGAGGUCCUGAUGGUCUUUUAAUUAUAAAGUAAUUGAAAAAAAAAUUAUGCCACCACUGAGCAAUUUCAAAUAAGCAAUAUUACCAACUUAUAUUAACGGAACUCUUAAGAUUUUAUUUAUAAAUGCAUGGGAACUUAUGUACUUCAAUUUGUAAUUUACAUGUGAUAAAUUAUUGAGGAUUUUGGAAGUUUUAAUAAAGCUCAAAUUGGAAAAUAAUAAUUUUAUGUCAAGUUGGAAUGAAAUAUAUAUCCUGAUUUUGAAUAUACCCAACAAAAUAAUAAUAAUUUUUUUGGAAAAAAAAAAAGAAUAAUGAACUUGUAGUAUUCCAGCCAAUCAUGCUUCAGAGUUCAGAGUCGAGCCAAAUACAGGUGUUGGGAUCUCUCAUCUCGAUCUAACGAUUUUCCCCGAUAAAAUGCCGAUACGAUCAAUACAACGCCUUAUCGCGAUUUUUUCACCUACUGAAAGUCUGAAACCCCGCAACUUAAGUCUUAAAAUCUCCUUGGCGGGCCCCAGUAGAAUUUGCCUCAACAGCUGCCUUGCAGCCUUGCCUUGCCCCCCCGCUCUCUCAAAAAAUUAUUUUUUUCCAGUUAAUUUUCGCUUACAUAUCUGGUUUUUUUUUUUAAAUAUACAUGUUUAGAUUUUAAUCAACAAUAAAAAAUAUUUAUAUAAGUUAUAAAUUCUUUAAAAAUAUUAUACUAAUUAACAAACUCAAACUGGUU
rnacentral:lncRNA from 1 species